GAAAUUUAAUGGCAUAUUUCGACUCAUAUAGAACAUGGCACACAUGAAACUCAGUCCAAUAUAAUAAUACCCAAUAUGUGCUCUCAGAUUUACAGUUCACACUCCUCACUUCCUCAGUUUCUUUAGUCAGACUAUAUAUUUUUGUAUUAAAAAUGAAGAGAGAGAAAAAAAUUGUUAUCAUUUUGAUUUAUUUUCAGGAUCCAUUUUGAUUAAAGAGAGUUACCUUGAAAUUGGAUAUUUAAAUACCCAGCAUUGCUAGCUGAUACACAAUCUUAGGCAUAUUGUAAUCAGUGGCGUAUCCAGGAUUCCCCGACAGGGGGGCAUGAUUCGCCUAAGGCGAAAAAUUUUUUUUGUACUAAUUAAAAAACCUAUAUAAAUUUUGGCAUGACCUAUUCAUAUAAUUGAUUAUAAAAAUCUAUAAAAAAUCAAUACAUUCAUUCCAUAAUUAAUAUUCAAUACAUUAAUUAAUAUUCAAAUUAAAAAUAAAUACAUUCAUUUAAUUAACAAUAAAAAUUUCAAAUACAUUUUACAUUACUUCAAUGUCCUACGACGAAGACACAUAUCAUUAAAUAUUUUUAAAAUAACUUCGUUGUCUAUAGUUUUAAAAAUAUCUUUCUCGAUAUAUGUUACUAAACAAUCAUUUAUCAAACUAUCACCAAGGCGAUUUCUGAGACGAAUUUUAAUGUGGGAAUCACAUUAAAGAAAUAAAUAAAAUUUACAUGGAUAUUUAAUCAAUUUAGGUCCCUGUUUUAAAAAAUCACAUGGAAUGAUGAAAAUUCAUAUUUUUUCAGGUUGAUGAUAGUUCAAUUCAAUUUUUUGCAAAUGGUUCAUUUUCCUGUUUUAAAAUGGUACAUUUUUUUCCGGAUCAAGCUAGGUUAAACACAAACGGAUCAAGAAUUCAAGAUAGACGGACAUACCUAGAGCCUAAAGGCUAG
rnacentral:lncRNA from 1 species